ACACGUUAUAUUGAACACUUUUUUCGUUGUUUAAACAUGAGUCACUCUCGACGGGAUCAUCACGGAUUCAAAAAAAUCGCAGGGAACAACAGACGCUAGCGAUCGACACCGUUCCCGUAAGGGUGGAUUUAGUGAUUAGCAAUUAACUUUGACCCUCCUGCUGGCCGCUGAUGUCCGAGCGAGUGCCUCUUCUUUUCGACCAUUUUUCUACCCUCGGCUCACCGGCCGCCGAUUUCCGUUCGUCGGAAACGUCAUGUGGCACAUUAAUUGGAUCCGUGUAGAAUAAAAGGAGGCUCCUACAUAGCAAACUUAGAAACGAACCGUUCUCCAUUGACAUAUAAAUAAUGGCAACAUGACAGUGAUUGACGUCGAUAAAAGAACAUUUUUAUGUAAGAAUGAUACAAUAAUUACUAUAAAAUUAUACAAUAUAAAUCAUUCACUUCGAUAAUAUUAUCAACUCCAUCGAAUCUACUUUCUCUCAAUGAAUAAUCAUCAAAACGUUCGUCAGCAGAUGCAAUAAAAUUAUACGCUACCGUUUUGAUACUAUCUCCAACUGUGUAAACCUAGGUAUUAAAUAAUGUAUUUUACAAAUAUUUCAGAAAAA